AUGGGCGAAAGCCUGAUGCAGCAACGCCGCGUGAGUGAUGAAGGCCUUCGGGUUGUAAAGCUCUGUCUUCUGGGACGAUAAUGACGGUACCAGAGGAGGAAGCCACGGCUAACUACGUGCCAGCAGCCGCGGUAAUACGUAGGUGGCAAGCGUUGUCCGGAAUUAUUGGGCGUAAAGCGCGCGCAGGCGGGAUAUUAAGUCUGUUUUAAAAGUUCGGGGCUCAACCCCGUGAUGGAAUGGAAACUAAUAUUCUUGAGUGCAGGAGAGGAAAGUGGAAUUCCCAGUGUAGCGGUGAAAUGCGUAGAUAUUGGGAGGAACACCAGUGGCGAAGGCGACUUUCUGGACUGUGUCUGACGCUGAGGCGCGAAAGCCAGGGGAGUGAACGGGAUUAGAUACCCCGGUAAUCCUGGCCGUAAACGAUGGGUACUAGGUGUAGGAGGUAUCGACCCCUUCUGUGCCGGAGUUAACGCAAUAAGUACCCCGCCUGGGGAGUA
rnacentral:rRNA from 1 species